GACGAAUGCUGGCUGCGUGCUUAACACAUGCAAGUCGAACGGUGAACAGGGGCUUGCCCCUGGGAUCAGUGGCGAACGGGUGAGUAACACGUGGGCAACCUGCCCCUCACUCUGGGAUAACUCCGGGAAACCGGGGCUAAUACCGGAUACGACCAGACACGACAUCGGGUCUGGUGGAAAGAACUUCGGUGAGGGAUGGGCCCGCGGCCUAUCAGCUAGUUGGUGAGGUAACGGCUCACCAAGGCGACGACGGGUAGCCGGCCUGAGAGGGCGACCGGCCACACUGGGACGUGAGACACGGCCCAGACUCCUACGGGAGGCAGCAGUGGGGAAUAUUGCGCAAUGGGCGAAAGCCUGACGCAGCGACGCAGCGUGAGGGACGACGGCC
rnacentral:rRNA from 1 species